rnacentral:rRNA from 1 species
GCCUUCCUGGACUGACACUGACGCUGAGGUGCGAAAGCGUGGGUAGCAAACAGGAUUAGAUACCCUGGUAGUCCACGCCGUAAACGACGUCGACUAGCCGUUGGGUCCCUUGAGGACUUAGUGGCGCAGUUAACGCGAUAAGUCGACCGCCUGGGGAGUACGGCCGCAAGGUUAGAACUCAAAUGAAUUGGCGGGGGCCCGCACAAGCGGUGGAGCAUGUGGUUUAAUUCGAUGCAACGCGAAGAACCUUACCUACCCUUGACAUCCUGCGAAGCCGGAAGAGAUUAUGGUGUGCCUUCGGGAGCGCAGAGACAGGUGCUGCAUGGCUGUCGUCAGCUCGUGUUGUGAAAUGUUGGGUUAAGUCCCGUAACGAGCGCAACCCUUGUCCCUAUUUGCCAGCACGUCAUGGUGGGAACUCUAGGGAAACUGCCGGUGACAAAACCGGAGGAAGGUGGGGACGACGUCAAGUCAUCAUGGGCCCUCACGGGUAGGGUUACACACGUGCUACAAUGGCCGGUACAAAGGGAGGCGAAGCCGCGAGGUGGAGCGAAUCCCGAAAAGCCGGUCUCAGUCCGGAUCGGAGUCUGCAACUCGACUCCGUGAAGUCGGAAUCGCUAGUAAUCGUGAAUCAGAAUGUCACGGUGAAUACGUUCCCGGGCCUUGUACACACCGUCCGUCACACCAUGGGAGUGGACUGCACCAGAAGUGGUUAGCUUAACCCUCGGGGGAGCGAUCACCACGGUGUGGUUCAUGACUGGGGUGAAGUCGUAACAAGGUAACCAAGCC